rnacentral:rRNA from 1 species
UAGGGAAUCUUCGGCAAUGGGGGGAACCCUGACCGAGCAACGCCGCGUGAGUGAAGAAGGUUUUCGGAUCGUAAAGCUCUGUUGUUAAGGAAGAACAGCGCAUAGAGUAACUGUUAUGCGUGUGACGGUAUCUAACCAGAAAGCCACGGCUAACUACGUGCCAGCAGCCGCGGUAAUACGUAGGUGGCAAGCGUUGUCCGGAUUUAUUGGGCGUAAAGCGAGCGCAGGCGGUCAAUUAAGUCUGAUGUGAAAGCCCCCGGCUCAACCGGGGAGGGUCAUUGGAAACUGGUUGACUUGAGUGCAGAAGAGGAGAGUGGAAUUCCAUGUGUAGCGGUGAAAUGCGUAGAUAUAUGGAGGAACACCAGUGGCGAAGGCGACUCUCUGGUCUGUAACUGACGCUGAGGCUCGAAAGCGUGGGUAGCAAACAGG